GUAACCUGCCUGUAAGACUGGGAUAACUCCGGGAAACCGGGGCUAAUACCGGAUAACUUUUUUCUUCGCAUGARGGAGAAUUGAAAGAUGGCYUCGGCUAUCACUUACAGAUGGACCCGCGGCGCAUUAGCUAGUUGGUGAGGUAACGGCUCACCAAGGCGACGAUGCGUAGCCGACUUGAGAGGGUGAUCGGCCACACUGGGACUGAGACACGGCCCAGACUCCUACGGGAGGCAGCAGUAGGGAAUCUUCCGCAAUGGACGAAAGUCUGACGGAGCAACGCCGCGUGAGUGAUGAAGGUUUUCGGAUCGUAAAACUCUGUUGUUAGGGAAGAACAAGUAUCGUUCGAAUAGGGCGGUACCUUGACGGUACCUAACCAGAAAGCCACGGCUAACUACGUGCCAGCAGCCGCGGUAAUACGUAGGUGGCAAGCGUUGUCCGGAAUUAUUGGGCGUAAAGCGCGCGCAGGCGGUUUCUUAAGUCUGAUGUGAAAUCUUGCGGCUCAACCGCAAGCGGCCAUUGGAAACUGGGAGACUUGAGUGCAGAAGAGGAGAGUGGAAUUCCACGUGUAGCGGUGAAAUGCGUAGAGAUGUGGAGGAACACCAGUGGCGAAGGCGACUCUCUGGUCUGUAACUGACGCUGAGGCGCGAAAGCGUGGGGAGCGAACAGGAUUAGAUACCCUGGUAGUCCACGCCGUAAACGAURAGUGSUAAGUGUUAGAGGGUUUCCGCCCUUUAGUGCUGCAGCUAACGCAUUAAAGCAYUCCG
rnacentral:rRNA from 2 species